ACAUUUUGUCUGCCUUUCCAAGUAUGUGCAUUGAGGAUAAAACUCUCUUGACUUGCGCCUGCAUAUCGGAUGCAUGAACUUCACAAAAACCAUGUGAUCGACGGUGAUGCAGUUUUUGAUGAAGCCCACUCACCACGUGACGUCCAUGAACGUUGAAUUUUGGGCGAUAUCAGGGUUAGUGUUUGAAGUCUUCAACUUCAUUCCCAGAUUCAUGUUUUGAGGAUGUUUUGAGGAUUAUUCUACCUGGCUCAGACAGGGAGAGUCCGCUACGUAUACAGGUGCUGCUGUCGCUGUGCCAGGCCCGGGCCGCUGUGCUCUGCUGCGGUGUGUGGCUGAGUGAUGCAGCGCUACGCUCAGAGCUGCUGCAGUUCAUGCUGGGAGGGAUGCAGAGCCGCCUGGACAGCAGCAUAGUGUGUGAGGGGCAUGGUGGUGGGGGAGUGUCUCCGCUCCUGCAUGGACAUCAACAGAGCUAAGCUCAAAUUCAAGAUCAGUGCAAAUGAAAGGAGAAGAUGGAGGAAGCCACUGGAGACUGUUGAGGCGCACCCCUACAGUAGGCUAUAGGUUCCUGCUGUGUAACUUUCCAAAUCAUGUCCAAUUAAUUUAAUUUACCACUGGUGGACUCCAAUCAAGUUGUAGGAACAUCAAAGAGGAUCAUUGGAAACAGGAUGCACCAGAGCUCAAUUUCGAGUCUCAUAGCAAAGGGUCUGAAUACUUAUGUAAAUAUAGUAUGCUCUUUAUUUUUUAUGGAAUUUGCAAAAAUGUCUAAACCUGUUUUCGCUUUGUCAUUAUAUGUGUAGAUUGAAGACGUAUUUAAUACAUUUUAGAAGAAUAAGGCUAACGUAACAAUGUGGUAAAACGUCAAGGGGUCUGAAUCCUUUCUGAAUGCACUG